rnacentral:rRNA from 1 species
UACGAAGGGUGCAAGCGUUAAUCGGAAUUACUGGGCGUAAAGGGUGCGUAGGCGGUUAUUUAAGUCUGCCGUGAAAUCCCGGGGCUCAACCCCGGAACUGCCUUUGAUACUGGGUAUCUAGAGUAUGGUAGAGGUGAGUGGAAUUCCGAGUGUAGAGGUGAAAUUCGUAGAUAUUCGGAGGAACACCAGUGGCGAAGGCGGCUCACUGGACCAUUACUGACGCUGAGGUGCGAAAGCGUGGGGAGCAAACAGG